GACGAACGCUGGCGGCGUGCUUAACACAUGCAAGUCGAACGGAAAGGCCCUGCUUUUGUGGGGUGCUCGAGUGGCGAACGGGUGAGUAACACGUGAGUAACCUGCCCUUGACUUUGGGAUAACUUCAGGAAACUGGGGCUAAUACCGGAUAGGAGCUCCUGCUGCAUGGGGGAGGGUGGAAAGUUUCGGUGGUUGGGGAUGGACUCGCGGCUUAGCAGCUUGUGGGUGGGGUAGUGGCUUACCAAGGCUUUGACGGGUAGCCGGCCUGAGAGGGUGACCGGCCACAUUGCGACUGAGAUUCGGCCCAGACUCCUACGGGAGGCAGCAGUGGGGCAUAUUGCACUAUGGGCGGAACCCUGAUGCGGCAACGCCGCGUGCCGGCUGACGGCCUUCGGGCUGUCACCCGCUUUCGCCUGUGCCGACGCGUGAGUGACGGUAAUGGGUAAAGAAGCACCGGCUAACUACGUG
rnacentral:rRNA from 1 species